UACGUAGGGUGCGAGCGUUAAUCGGACUUACUGGGCGUAACGCGUGCGCAGGCGGUUUUAUAAGCCAGAUGUGAAAGCCCCGGGCUCAACCUGGGAAUGGCAUUUGGGACUGUAAGGCUGGAGUAUGGCAGAGGAGACUAGAAUUCCUGGUGUAGCAGUGAAAUGCGUAGAUAUCAGGAGGAAUACCGAUGGCGAAGGCAGGUCUCUGGGCCAAUACUGACGCUCAUGCACGAAAGCGUGGGGAGCAAACAGG
rnacentral:rRNA from 1 species